CCAGGUCGCCAGUGCGACACCCGUUCCCACACAACGGGCAUUGGGGUGCAACUCCCCCGUCUAUCCUGGACGUCACCAGGACCA
rfam:Kennedya yellow mosaic virus strain Bawley Point virion protein gene, complete cds.